rnacentral:rRNA from 1 species
CGGGACGGGUGAGUAACGCGUGGGUAACCUACCCUGUACACACGGAUAACAUACCGAAAGGUAUGCUAAUACGGGAUAAUAUAUUUGAGAGGCAUCUCUUGAAUAUCAAAGGUGAGCCAGUACAGGAUGGACCCGCGUCUGAUUAGCUAGUUGGUAAGGUAACGGCUUACCAAGGCGACGAUCAGUAGCCGACCUGAGAGGGUGAUCGGCCACAUUGGAACUGAGACACGGUCCAA